rnacentral:rRNA from 1 species
UCGGGAAUUUUGGGCAAUGGGCGAAAGCCUGACCCAGCAACGCCGCGUGAGGGAUGAAGUAUUUCGGUAUGUAAACCUCGAAAGAAUGGGAAGAAUAAAUGACGGUACCAUUUAUAAGCACCGGCUAACUCCGUGCCAGCAGCCGCGGUAAUACGGAGGGUGCGAGCGUUAUCCGGAUUUACUGGGUUUAAAGGGUGCGUAGGUGGGCUUAUAAGUCAGUGGUGAAAUCUCCGAGCUUAACUUGGAAACUGCCGUUGAUACUAUAGGUCGUGAAUUAUCUGGAGGUAAGCGAAAUAUGUCAUGUAGCGGUGAAAUGCUUAGAUAGGACAUAGAACACCAAUUGCGAAGGCAGCUUACUACAUAUAAAUUGACGCUGAGGCACGAAAGCGUGGGGAUCAAACA